UACAGAGGGUGCAAGCGUUGUUCGGAAUUACUGGGCGUAAAGGGCUCGUAGGCGGCCAACUAAGUCAUACGUGAAAUCCCUCGGCUUAACCGGGGAACUGCGUCUGAUACUGGAUGGCUUGAGUUCGGGAGAGGGAUGCAGAAUUCCAGGUGUAGCGGUGAAAUGCGUAGAUAUCUGGAGGAAUACCGGUGGCGAAGGCGGCAUCCUGGACCGGCAUUGACGCUGAGUGAGCGAAAGCCAGGGGAGCAAACGGG
rnacentral:rRNA from 1 species